UACGUAGGGGGCAAGCGUUGUCCGGAUUUAUUGGGCGUAAAGAGCGUGUAGGCGGCCUGAAAGGUCAGCUGUGAAAACUCGAGGCUUAACCUCGAGACGUCGGUUGAAACCAUCUGGCUAGAGUCCGGAAGAGGAGUGUGGAAUUCCCGGUGUAGCGGUGAAAUGCGCAGAUAUCAGGAGGAACACCGGUGGUGUAGACGGCUUUCUGGACCGUAACUGACGCUGAGACACGAAAGCGUGGGUAGCAAACAGG
rnacentral:rRNA from 1 species